rnacentral:rRNA from 1 species
UCGAACGAGAAAGCGGGGGCAACCUCGUGAGUAAAGUGGCGUACGGGUGAGUAACACGUGGGUAAUCUACCUUCUGGUGGGGAAUAACCUUGGGAAACCGGGGAUAAUACCGCAUAAGCUCGAGAGAGGAAAGCAGCAAUGCGCCGGAAGAGGAGCCCGCGGCCGAUUAGCUAGUUGGCAGGGUAAAAGCCUACCAAGGCUGAGAUCGGUAGCCGGCCUGAGAGGGCACACGGCCACACUGGCACUGAAACACGGGCCAGACUCCUACUGGAGGCAGCAGUGGGGAAUCUUGCACAAUGGGGGAAACCCUGAUGCAGCGACGCCGCGUGAGCGAUGAAGCCCUUCGGGGUGUAAAGCUCUUUCGGCAGGGACGAUAAUGACGGUACCUGCAGAAGCAGCUGCGGCUAACUACGUGCCAGCAGCCGCGGUAAUACGUAGGCAGCAAGCGUUGUUCGGAGUUACUGGGCGUAAAGGGUGCGUAGGCGGUCCUUUAAGUUUGGUGUGAAAUCUCCCGGCUUAACUGGGAGGGUGCGCCGGAUACUGAGGGACUAGAGUGCGGGAGGGGAGAGUAGAAUUCCUGGUGUAGCGGUGAAAUGCGUAGAUAUCAGGAGGAAUACCGGUGGUGUAAACGGCUCUCUGGACCGUAACUGACGCUGAGGCACGAAAGCGUGGGUAGCAAACAGGAUUAGAUACCCUGGUAGUCCACGCCCUAAACGAUGCAUGCUUGGUGCGGGUGAUUCAGUUCAUCUGUGCCGGAGCUAACGCGUUAAGCAUGCCGCCUGGGGAGUACAGUCGCA